GAUGAACGCUGGCGGCGUGCUUAACACAUGCAAGUCGAACGAACCUUCGGGUUAGUGGCGGACGGGUGAGUAACGCGUGAGAAUCUGCCCUCAGGAGGGGGAUAACGGCUGGAAACGGCCGCUAAUACCCCAUAUGCCGAGAGGUGAAAUGAAUUUCGCCUGAGGAUGAGCUCGCGUCUGAUUAGCUUGUUGGUGGGGUAAUGGCCUACCAAGGCAACGAUCAGUAGCUGGUCUGAGAGGAUGAUCAGCCACACUGGGACUGAGACACGGCCCAGACUCCUACGGGAGGCAGCAGUGGGGAAUUUUCCGCAAUGGGCGAAAGCCUGACGGAGCAACGCCGCGUGAGGGAUGAAGGCCUCUGGGCUGUAAACCUCUUUAUCAAGGAAGAAGAUCUGACGGU
rnacentral:rRNA from 1 species